rnacentral:rRNA from 1 species
GUCCUUUUGAUUUUUAUUUAAGGUCUAACCUGCCCACUGAUUUAUUUAAUGGCCGCGGUAUUCUGACCGUGCAAAGGUAGCAUAAUAAUUUGUCUUUUAAUUGAAGGCUUGUAUGAAUGGUUGGACGAGAAAGCUUCUUUCUUUAUAAUAGAUUUAUGAAUUUUAUUUUUUAGUUAAAAAGCUAAAAUGUAAUUGUAGGACGAGAAGACCCUAUAGAACUUUAUAAUUAUUAUUACAUUAAUAUUUUUAGAUUAUCAUGAUAUUAUUUGAUAAUAAUUAUUUUGUUGGGGCGACAAGAAAAUUUAUUUAACUUUUUUAAUUAAUUUCAUUAAUUAAUGUAUAUAUGAUCCUUUAUUAAGGACAGUUAGAAUAAGUUACCUUAGGGAUAACAGCGUAAUUUUUUUGGAGAGUUCUUAUCGAUAAAAAAGUUUGCGA